rnacentral:rRNA from 1 species
UCCACCGAUUGACUAAGGUUUCCAGAGGAAGGCUCGUCCGCUCUGGGUUAGUCGGGUCCUAAGCUGAGGCCGACAGGCGUAGGCGAUGGAUAACAGGUUGAUAUUCCUGUACCACCUAUAAUCGUUUUAAUCGAUGGGGGGACGCAGUAGGAUAGGCGAAGCGUGCGAUUGGAUUGCACGUCUAAGCAGUAAGGCUGAGUAUUAGGCAAAUCCGGUACUCGUUAAGGCUGAGCUGUGAUGGGGAGAAGACAUUGUGUCUUCGAGUCGUUGAUUUCACACUGCCGAGAAAAGCCUCUAGAUAGAAAAUAGGUGCCCGUACCGCAAACCGACACAGGUAGUCAAGAUGAGAAUUCUAAGGUGAGCGAGCGAACUCUCGUUAAGGAACUCGGCAAAAUGACCCCGUAACUUCGGGAGAAGGGGUGCUCUUUAGGGUUAACGCCCAGAAGAGCCGCAGUGAAUAGGCCCAAGCGACUGUUUAUCAAAAACACAGGUCUCUGCUAAACCGUAAGGUGAUGUAUAGGGGCUGACGCCUGCCCGGUGCUGGAAGGUUAAGAGGAGUGGUUAGCUUCUGCGAAGCUACGAAUCGAAGCCCCAGUAAACGGCGGCCGUAACUAUAACGGUCCUAAGGUAGCGAAAUUCCUUGUCGGGUAAGUUCCGACCCGCACGAAAGGCGUAACGAUUUGGGCACUGUCUCAACGAGAGACUCGGUGAAAUCAUAGUACCUGUGAAGAUGCAGGUUACCCGCGACAGGACGGAAAGACCCCGUGGAGCUUUACUGUAGCCUGAUAUUGAAAUUCGGCACAGCUUGUACAGGAUAGGUAGGAGCCU